CAACUUUCAAGAUGGCGGAUAUACAGUUUUUAGUAGAAAAUGUUGAUGAUACGGAAGAAGAUCCUGAUGAUGAAGGUUGCGAUUUAGAACAAGAUGAUCCUUCUGUACUUGAUGAAAUAAACCCAGAAGAAUUACUCAGUCCUAUUGUAAGAAUGGAGAAAUACAUGCAUAGUGAUGUGAUAUU